rnacentral:lncRNA from 1 species
AUAAAAGAUUCGAUUUUCGUGUUAUUAAAAUUGUUUUUGUAACAAUUCCCUCUUAUUACAAUUUGAGUUCUUAAAUAAUAAAAUAUAAGAUAUUUUAUUAUAGAGCUAUCCAUCAAGGUAAUUAAUUUUACUUACUUCUUGUUUAUAAGGAGCGGCCUGACUAACAGGAGACUUAUAGUUCGAGAAUAUGUUAAAAGUAUUUAUUGCAUUAGAUGUAUGGAUUGAAAGAAUUAUUCAAUUUUA